rnacentral:tRNA from 1 species
AUUAGCAUAGCUUAUUUAAAGCAUGGUGUUGAAGCCAUUAAGAAGAUUUUUAUCUGCUAAUA